rnacentral:rRNA from 1 species
CUGGCGGCAUGCCUAACACAUGCAAGUCGCGCGGUCAGCAAUGGCAGCGGGCGGACGGGUGCGUAACGCGGUAGGAACGUGUCCUGAGGUGGGGGACAACCCUGGGAAACUGGGGCUAAUACCGCAUAUGGGCUGAGGCCCAAAGCCGAAAGGCGCCUUAGGAGCGGCCUGCGUCCGAUUAGCUAGUUGGUGGGGUAACGUGCCGUACCAAGGCUCCGAUCGGUAGCUUGGUCUGAGAGGACGAUCAGCCACACUGGGACUGAGACACGGCCCAGACUCCUACGGGAGGCAGCAGUGGGGAAUAUUGGACAAUGGGCGCAAGCCUGAUCCAGCAAUGCCGCGUGGGUGAAGAAGGUCUUCGGAUCGUAAAGCCCUUUCGACAGGGACGAUGAUGACGGUACCUGUAGAAGAAGCCCCGGCUAACUUCGUGCCAGCAGCCGCGGUAAUACGAAGGGGGCUAGCGUUGCUCGGAAUUACUGGGCGUAAAGGGCGCCGUAGGCGGCUUAGUC